rnacentral:rRNA from 1 species
AACGCGAAGAACCUUACCUGGGCUCGAAAUGCUGUGGACCAGCUUAUGAAAGUAGGCCUUCCCGCAAGGGACCGCAGUAUAGGUGCUGCAUGGCUGUCGUCAGCUCGUGUCGUGAGAUGUUGGGUUAAGUCCCGCAACGAGCGCAACCCUUGUCCUGUGUUGCCAUACCUUAAAAAGUGGAACUCGCAGGAGACCGCCAGGGAUAACCUGGAGGAAGGUGGGGAUGACGUCAAGUCCUCAUGGCCUUUAUGUCCAGGGCUACACACGUGCUACAAUGGUAGAUACAAAGGGUCGCGAAUCCGCAAGGUGGAGCCAAUCCCAUAAAGUCUAUCGUAGUCCGGAUCGGAGUCUGCAACUCGACUCCGUGAAGUCGGAAUCGCUAGUAAUCGUAGAUCAGCAUUGCUACGGUGAAUACGUUCCCGGCUUGUACACACCGCGCAUA